rnacentral:lncRNA from 1 species
CCAGCUGCCUAGUUUGGUACUUUGCAUGUAGUUUAAGAAAUAUUUAGUUGUUGUAGCUUAAAAUUUGUAAAUUUUAAAGUUGUAGCUUUAAAAUGUGGGAGAUAAUGCUUUGAAUUUGACUCUCCUGCACCCUUCUCCCCCACAAUGAUUCCUGAUUCUGAGGCAAUCCAAUCCCAAUCAAUUCAAUAAGCAUCAACUGGGAACUUUGUGCAAAUGAUGGGAAUGCCGAGACAAAAACCAAUCGCUGAUACAGGACUUUUGGAGGAGAGAGCAAUAAGAAGUGGGAAGAGCAGCAAAAGCUUCCUCUAAAAGCCUGGAGCCCCCAUGUUUUCUGGAGAGAUGAACGGACGUAAGUCUGGAUGAAUGGCCACAGGAGGCUGCAGAGCUGGAUGGGAAAGGUGCAGCUGGACACAGGAGCAAACCCAAGGCUGACAGUUGGCAUCUUCCUUCAGCCCGGGGGGCAGGUGCUGGACUUCAGGCAGCUGCUGAGCUGUGUGUGGCGGUGUGGAAGGACAAGAACCUUUUGGAAGCACAGAGGUUUACAGCUUGUGAGUACCUGUCCCUCUGGAAGAUAAGGGGUCAUCAAAGAAUGGGAUAGAUUGCCAAGAGAGGCUAAGGAUUAUUUUCCUUGGGUCUUCUCCAAAAGGGCCUGGAAACCACCACUCUGGAAUGCAUGGGGCCAACCUUUUCAAAACAAGAUGGCGGAAUGGGAAGAGCCUUUGAUUUGGGUUCAGAAGACCUCUCGCUGUGUGUUUUACUUAAAUUUAAAUUUAAUUUUUAAAACAGUUCUUACUAGUUGUGUGUGAUAUUGGACAAGAUAGAUAACCUCUAUAAAAUAGGAAUAAUAAUUCCUGCCUUGGAUCAAAGGAUGUAGUAAAUAUGUAAUUAAAAUUCUAAAAGACUCUACUCUUAGAGUAUGCUGUUAACUUUGUGCUAUAUAGCCUAGUGGAUAGUAUGCUGGACCUGGUUUCAGAUCCUAGGCAAGUCCUUUAACCUGGUCACCACUUUAUCUUCCAUCUUCC